GCGUUGACCGCCCGCCGCGGCAGAGCAUAGAUUGACCCUGCUGCGACAGCGGGAAGCCGGUGAGAAUCCGGCGCAGUGGCGCUACUGUGUGGCCCUUCUCGGGCCGAGUCAGACCCCGUCCGCGGCAACGCCAGGCAC
rfam:Luteipulveratus sp. C296001 unitig_0_quiver_44, whole genome shotgun sequence.